rnacentral:tRNA from 1 species
GCGGCAGCAGCCAGGUGUGGGUGACGCGUUCGCGCUGCAUCGUCGCCAGCACGUCCCCGGGUUCGAAGCCCUGCCGCAGCACCA